GACGAACGCUGGCGGCGUGCCUAAUACAUGCAAGUAGAACGCUGAAGAGAGGAGCUUGCUCUUCUUGGAUGAGUUGCGAACGGGUGAGUAACGCGUAGGUAACCUGCCUUGUAGCGGGGGAUAACUAUUGGAAACGAUAGCUAAUACCGCAUAACAAUGGAUGACACAUGUCAUUUAUUUGAAAGGGGCAAUUGCUCCACUACAAGAUGGACCUGCGUUGUAUUAGCUAGUAGGUGAGGUAAUGGCUCACCUAGGCGACGAUACAUAGCCGACCUGAGAGGGUGAUCGGCCACACUGGGACUGAGACACGGCCCAGACUCCUACGGGAGGCAGCAGUAGGGAAUCUUCGGCAAUGGGGGCAACCCCGACCGAGCAACGCCGCGUGAGUGAAGAAGGUUUUCGGAUCGUAAAGCUCUGUUGUAAGUCAAGAACGGGUGUGAGAGUGGAAAGUUCACACUGUGACGGUAGCUUACCAGAAAGGGACGGCUAACUACGUG
rnacentral:rRNA from 1 species